UACGUAGGGGGCUAGCGUUGUCCGGAAUCAUUGGGCGUAAAGCGCGUGUAGGCGGCCCGGUAAGUCCGCUGUGAAAGUCGGGGGCUCAACCCUCGAAAGCCGGUGGAUACUGUCGGGCUCGAGUACGGAAGAGGCGAGUGGAAUUCCUGGUGUAGCGGUGAAAUGCGAAGAUAUCAGGAGGAACACCAAUUGCGAAGGCAGCUCGCUGGGACGUUACUGACGCUGAGACGCGAAAGCGUGGGGAGCAAACAGG
rnacentral:rRNA from 1 species